rnacentral:rRNA from 1 species
UACCGGCAGUUCAAGUCGCAUCCACUUUUAUUGGGUCUAAAACAUCCGUAGCUUGUUUAUUAAGUCUUUUGUGAAAUCCCAUGUCUCAAGCAUGGGGCUUGCGGGAGAUACUGAUAAGCUAGAGAUCGGUAGACGUAAGGAGUACGCCGGAGGUAGUGGUAAAAUACGUUAAUCUUCGGUGGACUAACAAUCAGCGAAGGCACCUUACGAGAACGAAUCUGACAGUGAGGGAUGAAGGCCAGGGGCGCAAAAC